UGCCAUGCAGGGAGCUCCCAGCACCAAGU
rnacentral:piRNA from 1 species